UAAUACGUAGGUGGCAAGCGUUAUCCGGAAUUAUUGGGUGUAAAGGGUGCGUAGGCGGGGUGUAAAGUCAGGUGUGAAAUCUGAGAGCUCAACUCUCAGACUGCAUUUGAAACUUACACUCUUGAGUGAAGUAGAGGCAAGCGGAAUUCCCAGUGUAGCGGUGAAAUGCGUAGAUAUUGGGAGGAACACCAGUGGCGAAGGCGGCUUGCUGGGCUUUUACUGACGCUGAGGCACGAAAGUGUGGGGAGCAAACAGG
rnacentral:rRNA from 1 species